CUCAGCAGGCUGAGAUUGGAGAAUUACCUGAGCCCAGGAGGUUGAGGCUGCAGUAGGUGCCAGAUUGAGACUGUUUAAAAAAAAUUGCGUGGGGAAGACAGCUGAGACAAGGAUAUUAAAUAAGAAGACAUUUUAUAAGCCUGGCCAUUUGAAGAUAUAGGCUUAGACCAGUAGAUUGUAAUUUAAAUUUUACUUUUUUAUUUUCCAACUCUUUAAUCUCUAGGAAUAACUGGAAAUUUUAAGAAGUUACUAUCUCUGCUAUGGGGAUGGAUAGUCAGACAGCAAUGUUCACAAAUUACUCUUGAAACUUGAUGCAAACAACCUGUUUAAAAACUGAUGUAACGAGAGGAAUUUCAUGGAUGCAAAUGAACACCUGUGAAAAUUCUUCGGCAAGAACUGUUUCAUUUAGCAACACCAGGCUGUACAGGAGGCAUGGCUGGGGAGGCCUCAGAAAACUUACAAUCAUGGCAGAAGGUGAAGGGGAAGCCAGCACAUCUUCAUAUGAUGGCAGGAACUUUAUAUGUUAUAGAAGUUAGCCCCAAGAAUGAAAUCGUGUCCUUUGCCAAAACAUGGAUGGAGCUAGAGGCCUUUAUCCUAAGGUGCUCUAUGCUUAGCCCAUCAUAGAUUGUGGCCCUUCAUUCCUGCAUUUGAUGAAUCCAGGGAACCCUCUCUCCAACACCCUUGGCCUCUCUGCAACUUUCUAACAUCAGGCAGAGUCAGAGGCACCAUCCCCAGAAGCUACAAAUCUUCAGCAUUCUCCACUCUGUGAAGUCAGAGGAAUGGCGGGACCAUAGCUCUGAGCUCAUUGGCAAAUACAACUAAUUUCAAUUUCUGGAAUGGAAGCAGUCAGAUAUUCUUCUGACUGCACGCGUAUGUGGGAGUGCCAUGUUGAAGAGUGGAAAAUAUGGAAGAUCAGUCCCUACAAACUUAAUAGGAGAAUGACAUUCAGAUUUCCCGAGUAUUUUGCAUGUCCAACUGAAAACUGAAGUAGGUUUAUGAGAGAAUGCACGCCUACCUGGAUGGGUCUGGGGAGUGUGUCACUGUCACCGCAGAUAAUUGACAAGGGCUGAUCAAAUAGCGAUGCUUUCAAGUCUGUCUCCAAAGCCCCAGAAAAAUCUGAUGCAGGGGAGAGCCUUCUCAUGAGAAAGGGCCAGGACAGCACCUUCUUUCUCUUCUUAACUUCUACAGCCAAGAAAACAAGGCAACGAGAAAAAUUAGACUACAGUGUUAAGAAGCAAAGAUCCAGGAGAUAGGAUGGAGUGUCACCAAGAUAGAAGACAAAAACAUAAGCUGUGAAAUGUGAUUAUAAAGUAGUGACAUGAGUGCCAGAAACCACGGAGGAAACGUCUCCUUGUUCUGGAUCCACACUUCAUACGUGGUCAUUGAAACGUGGCAUCAAACGGGAGGAAUGUGAUGGGCCAGGUUAGGGGAAGAGCACCAAGCAGGGCCUUUCCCUGGGAGAUGGCACCACGUGACAUGCUUCAUACGGAAGCACAUGGGCCCUCAGCGCUGGUAUCUUGCUUCACCUGGGGAUGGUGAUGAAAUGAUGCAGAGCUGACUCAAUACGAUACAGAGCUGACUCAAUACGAUGUGUGGGAUCUUCCAUCGUGAAGCAGCUGGGAGCACCAGGAGGCAGGUUUUCCCGUGCUUAUGGAAAGCACCACAUUGUUCUGCUGGGGACAUGUUCUUUUACUCCAAGGAGUAGUGGAUGUGCAAUGGGCUGUCCUGCCCGUAGAGAUGUGUGGGGCUGGCUGCUGAGAACAGAUGGCAACUGGCUGGCUCUGAUGCCUCAGAAGAGGUGAAUGCAUUCGGAGAGGCCACAGCUGAGAGUCCCUCAAACUGGGGAGUUAUUAUUCUAAAAGUUGGAUUUUUAGCAAGAUUUUACCAGGUAACACGUUAUUUGAAUUGGCUGUGACUGAAUUUGAGGAACAACGCGCCCACCCCAGAGAUGGACAGUGGCCUGUUUUCAGGAGAUGGCAGCAUUGAUGACUGGGACAUUGUAUCUCCUCAUUCAAGGGAGAGAAUGGGAAUGCCUCCAUUUCUUAUGAAAGAGGCCCCACAACUUGUUAAGUUGAAACAUGGAUGUCUUGGGAGUUCCAAAGCUCACAGAGGGGAGUGUGUGGAAGCAAAGCCCAGGGCAGGCUGUGCCGAGUAUGGAGCUUUGGUUUCUCAGUCCCAAACCUGCCAUCCUCCACCCCGAGAUGCUGGGCUGGGACGUUGCAAAUCAAUGCCUGCCUUGCUGCCUGGCUCCCUGUGAGGUCCUGCUGAUUGGGCCGCUGCAGGCUGGAGGAGGGGGAAGGGACUUGCUCCUUCCUGGUUUGUCCUAGUUCUGCUUUCUUUCAUUCGGUUCCCGUCAGACACCUGUCCGUGUCUUCAGGUUGGCAGUGGCAGUCCCAUCCAGUAGCAGGAAUUGAGAUCAGUUUUCAGUUUUUUCCAAGAUUCUCAGAACUGGCCUCAUCACACUCUCUUAGGGCCGUGAGUGCCUGUUGCCCAGCGUCCCUCCCCUCUUCAGAGGUCAGGGACUCAGCCUCACAGGGACCCCGCUCUGAUCUCUGGGAUCCCAACCGGGCUGAGCAUCACUUGAUUCUCACGGGUUUUGCUCUGCAAGGCUUUCCCCCAAACUGUUAGGAAUUCCAACUUCUUCCCUUUGUUCUCCUAGCCGAGGUGCGACGGCUGCUUCCCGCCUUUGCUACAUCCACGAUCCCUCACUGUUUCCAUUUUGCCUUUUCAUUUCUCCAGGUAGUUAGCAAUUCUAUGCAUUACAUUCUCUCUGUCAGAGUAACCAGUUUGGUUUCUGCCUCUUGUCUGCAUUUUUAAACUUUGCUUCUUUUUUUAUCUCUCUUCCUCACUCGUGGAAUUGGUCAAAUUUUCUUUUACCUGCUUUCAGAAUUUUCUUUUGCCUCCUUUUAGAAGGUAAUAACAUACAUUCUACUUUUACUAUUUUAGAAAUCAUCCACUAAUUCUUGAUUCUUAAUGCUUACUCGACCUUAUUUUUUUUUCUAACAAAAUCUAGAGAUGGUUAAUAUUUCUACUCUCUUCUUGAACAAGUCAAGAAUGGUUUAC
rnacentral:lncRNA from 1 species